UAGUGAUUCCUACGGGAGGCAGCAGUGGGGAAUAUUGGACAAUGGGCGAAAGCCUGAUCCAGCAAUGCCGCGUGAGUGAUGAAGGCCUUAGGGUUGUAAAGCUCUUUUACCCGGGAUGAUAAUGACAGUACCGGGAGAAUAAGCUCCGGCUAACUCCGUGCCAGCAGCCGCGGUAAU
rnacentral:rRNA from 1 species